rnacentral:lncRNA from 1 species
UGGAGUUUGUCUGAUCACCUGAUCACUGACAGGAACAUGUGAACCUUAAAGCAGAGAGUUUUGUUUCAGUCAGUAAGAAGAGCGAGUCAUCAUGCACAACAACGAUAAAUCAAGUCUUUGAAGCAAAGAGAAAGCUUCCAUUUGAAACGAGGAGACAUUAGGAAGAGAAGAUGAUGUGCAGGAUCCUGCUGCUCAUCAUCCUCACCUCAGGUGUCUCUGGAUCAUUUGUAGUCAAUGUGACACAGACCUCCUAUCAGGCAGAGGAGAACCACAACAUCACACUGGAGUGGACGUUCACCACCAAACCUGACAGAUCCACCAAAACUCUCAACAUCCUCUGUGAACUGUUUAUCAGUAAUAAUAAUGUUUCAGUCUUGUAUCAUGUUCAUGAAGGUGUUGAGGUGUCAGAGUCUCAGGAUGCAAAGUUUUCAGGACGAGUCCAGAGUGACAAAGAUGCCCUCAGAGAAGGACGAAUCAGACUUCAACUGUCCAGACUCAGGACUGAUGACUCGGGUCUGUACCUGUGUGAGGUGAACACUGAUUAUGGCUUCAGUGUUGGAAGAUGUCGACUCAACGUCACUGCAGCUGCUGCUGAGACCAAACAUCAAACACCAACAAUGAACCCACAGACAGAGAGUCGAGGAAGCAUCUGUUGUUUGUUUUUGGGUGGCAUGUACACCUAUGAACCUAUAUAUCUAUCUGCACUGAAGAUAUAUGCUGUAACCUUCAUGUAGACUCUUAAGCACAAGUCGUUUUGCCUUCACCAGGGUUUAUUAAGGUGGUACAGUAACAGGGCAGUUAAUGUAAGGGGAGAGUUCUCCACUGUCCAACUUCCCCAAAGUACACACUCAACGUCUUGGAUACAUGCAGCACAACCAAAACAUUCAAUUUUUUCAAUUCAGUUUUAUUUAUAUAGCGCCAAAUCACAACAGCAGUCGCCUCAAGGUGCUUUAUAUUGUGCAGUAGAUCGUACAAUAAUAAUGCACAAUAAUAAAACAUGUUUCUUUAAAAACAGCAACAAUGCGACAGAAGUAAUAAACACAUCACAAUAAAAUCGCCUUAAAUAUCAUUAAAAUACUAUAUAGUUAUAUAUAAACACAUAUACUAUAAACCUAAACUGGAAUGUUUUCAUAUAUGAGAAUUACCAUGUUAAGCCUGUAACCUAUGUAAUUAGGUCAAGUAUUAUUCACAUGUAUAUCAUAAGAUAAUGCCACUUGCUGUGUGAGCACCUGUUGUUCUGUACUGCUUGUUUAAAGAUUUAAUAAUUAGGAUUAAUGUUUGACUAUUUUGUGACCUAUUGUGAUGAGGCAAAGCAAAGGGUUAGUCAAAGGUUGCCCAUCUGCAGAUGGCCCUUAGCCAGAGUCCUGACCAGCCCCUGGCCGGCUGUUUUUGGCUAGAGGACAAGUGGGAAGUUACCCAGCAGCAGGGGCGGGGUUACUGGCCCCUAUAAAGGGGGGUCAGAGGAGACCGGGGCUCUUCUCUUUCUAUCUGUCUCUGAGUGGCUCUGCUGUCUGUGCUUAUGGCUCUACAUCCUGGGGUUUGCUUUGCUAUGUGUUUUCUUGCUGUUCUGUUUAUGUACUUUCUUGCUUUUCAUAUGAUUCAGUGCAUUAAACUCUGUUCCACAGGAUCUUUGUGAGUGAAUUGAUUUUAAUUUGAUCUAAAAAAAACAAACAAACAAACAAACUUGAUCUCCAUAUCAUUGGUGGGAUAAGGUUAUCACGUUGGCUUCAAAAUUUGUGACCUGACAGAGUGUGUUUCUCAACUCAAACCAAGAAGUCUGUGCUGCAUCUUGUGGUCCAGCUUUGGCCCUUUUCCACUAACAGAAGUCAAAAAGUUGUGGUUUUUCAGUCCUGUUUGAUCAGGUCGACUCCUCAACUGGCUCCCCACAGGGAUUUGCACUCUGGCACUUCUUAUUUAUCCUACACACAAAUAUGUGGCAGGGGGCGGUAACACCACCUUGUACCUGCUUACAGUCAUUGGGUAUUUAUUCGAGAGUAAGGCAUAAGCCGACACAACAGAUCUGUGGUGUGUUUCAUCAAGAAUAAGUAGGACAUGAACUUUGAACUCUCCUGUGUGCAAAGUUUGUAUGAAGUGUGUCAAAUGAGCCGGAGACCAGGUUUGUGUUUCACUCAGCUGAUUUAAAACCUCCUCUCAGGCUCACUGCAUUACAAAAACAAAGAUUACUUUCUGAUUUUAAAUAUCUUCAUGGUUCAUGGAGAAAUCUUGUGUUGAGUUCGAGUCUUUGUCCAGAAUGUUAAUUUGUCUUUAAUGAGUCUACUUCCUGUGAGCUUUGUUAGUCCUGUUAGCUUAGUUUUGAUAUAAAUGUAUGCAUUGUUCUGGGUGUGUGUGACAUUAAUGUAAAUGAUGUUUUUGUGUUGUUUGUAUGCAGUGUGUAAAAAGAAUAAAGUGUGUGAAACCAGAAGAUUGUUAAAUUACCCCAAUUCUUUGAUCUUUAGGCUAAAUUCUCUUUAUUCCAUACAAACACUUUAUACAAAAGCAUUA